UGGGGAAUAUUGCACAAUGGGCGCAAGCCUGAUGCAGCGACGCCGCGUGCGGGAUGGAGGCCUUCGGGUUGUAAACCGCUUUUGUUUGGGAGCAAGCCCUUCGGGGUGAGUGUACCUUUCGAAUAAGCACCGGCUAACUACGUGCCAGCAGCCGCGGUAAUACGUAGGUG
rnacentral:rRNA from 1 species